AAAAGAGUGGUAUCGAAUUAUUUUUUUGUAUUACUAUUAUAAUAUGUAUAAUCAAGAAUUUUUUAACUAUUUCAUUAUAGUUAUUAAUAAUAUUUUGAAUUCGAUUAAUAUAUAUGAAGUAGAAAGAGUUUUAAAACAGGAACUAGCGAUAAAGGAAUGUAAAAAUAUAUACCAUAAGUAUAAUGUACCUAGUGAGUAUAAAAAUAAGAAUAAUAAAAUUACUAUUAACCAAAUUAAUAACUUAUAUGAUAUCAUCAGUUGCAUUUAUUACAUGUCUGGUAUAAAAGAUAUAGCUCAGUCAAAAGAAAAACAACAAAAACUGUUUUCUAAUUUUUAUAAUUUUUUUCAAACGAAUCAUAAUUUACUUACAUAUUUAAAUAUACAACAAUUAUUUUUGCUUUUACAAAUUAUGGAAAAUGCUGUCAACGUAGCUGACACAUGUACAAAUCAAACAAACAGUAAUGACCUUAUCAAAAACGUACCUCCAAAAAAUUUGAAAUGUAUUAUAUUAGAUUUAGUUUAUAAUCGAUUAAAAACGUUACAUAAUAAUGUAUGUAUACAAAAAAAUGAUAUAAAAAUCGAAUGUAAAGAUUUUAAAAAAAGUAUACGUAUUUUUAAUUCUGUUACUAUGUAUUUUGAAAAAGGAGUUGUUAAUCAGGAAGGUGAAAAGAUAAAACGCUCAGAUUAUUAUUUUAAUACUAGCACUUUAGGUUUAACAAUAGGAAAUUAUAUUAAUACUGAUAUUACUAACAACACUAAUAACAAUAACAACAAUAACAGUUGUAAUACUCCAACUUGCGUUUUGGAUAAUCACAUAAAAAGAAAAAACUAUACUAACCUUAAAUGUGAAGAUAAAAACAAAUACCUACUGGAUUCGAUUAUUGGAGAAAAAACACACGUGUAUACGCGUGAGCCAAUUACUGGUAACAGUAAAAAUAUCACUAACAAUGAUAUAUCCAUAUUUACCGAACAAACAAACCAAGUAAAUAAGGAAAAUUGUGAUUUAAAAGAUAGACAAUUAUAUGUCGAGACUUAUUUAAAUGUACAUGAACAUAUAGGUUUUUUUGAAAAUAUUAAUCAUUAUAUUAAUAGAGUAAACACAGAUUAUUUGAACUAUAUACCUAUACUUUUUUUAAGUAUACACAGUAAUAAUAAUAACAACAACAAUAGUAGUGAUAACAACCAUAGUAUUGAUAACAACAAUAGUAAUGAUAACAACAAUAGUAUGAAUAACAACACAGAUAAAUAUAAAAAAAUGUUAAUGUACUUUUUAACAUCUAUAGAAAAAACUACCGAUUUAGACAUUUUUUUAAUUUAUUUGAAAUUUCUUAGUACUUAUUGUAACAAUAUAUAUGUAUUGUCAUACAUCCCAUACUUUUAUAAAUGUGUAUUGGUCAACAAAUUUACAGAUACUACUAAUUUAUUAGAAAAAAAAAUACUUUUUUUAUUAUCAUGUUUAUGUUGUUUUAUAAACAAAACAUAUAAUUCCAAUAACAUUGAUCUAAACAAUUUUUAUAAAUGUAACGAUAUAUUUUUUCAUUUAUUAUAUAAAAAUAAUUUGAAUGUAUAUGAAGAUGUUAAAACAAAUUUGACAAAUAUGAAUAUCAACGAUAUUAGCAACGACAUUAGCAACGAAAUU
ensembl:lncRNA